AUAAAAACAUCAGUUCCCGUAUGAUCACCGAAGUUAAGCAACAUUGGGCCUGGCCAGUACAUAUAUGGGUGACCGCUUGGAAAUGCCAGGUGCGGUAAG